rnacentral:lncRNA from 1 species
AGAGAUGUUAGCAUCCGUAUCGAGUCAAUCGAAGGACCUACCAGCAGUGCCACCUGCAUCAGCUGAGGAGGAGAAUCAGAGAGUAGUGCAACCUAUCAUAUCAUCUGCUUCUGAUAAAUCAAAAGGGCACUGCAUCAGCCCUGAUAAGGAAUGCGAGAAUGGGGAAAACACUAAUGAGGCUAAUUCUAAUAUUGAAGACUCUCCAAUGGAUGUGGCUGCAACCCCCAUAUCUCCUGAUGCUGUUGCUAAUGACACGAGUCGACAAAAUGGCUUUGGAUCUGAUGCUCAUCUUGAUGAAAUCGGUAAGAUUGCAACUUAUAAGAUAAGGCCAGUUCUGAGGAUGAUUGCAGGGUCAACUGUAUCAGAGUUCGAUUUGACUGGUGAUCUUUUUAAAGCUCUUGAAGAUCAGAGGGAUCUCAUCAGGGAUCUUAACACGUCAGCCAGCUUACCUCCGAGCAGAUGCCAAGCCUUUAAGGACGCGAUGAAACAAGGAAUUAUUAGUCCAAGUGAUAUUGAAGUUACAUUUGAGAAUUUCCCCUACUAUCUUAGGUGAUGCUUUGACUUAAUGUUCCUUUGAUUUGCUUUGGCCUCUAAUCCUGUUUUUUAGCUUCUUCCUAUGAUGUAUAACUGGAAUUUUGCAUACAUUUUAUUCUCUGUACUCUACAUAAUAAAAAGGUUGUCUCUGGUUACUUAGUUUUUGACAGAUUUUGUUCUUUGUAUUCUAUCUACAUAGUGAAAAACUAAGGUUGUCUCUGGUCAUUUAGUUUUUGAUGUUGUGCAGAACGAGUAAAAGUAAAUAUUUAGUUCGGUACGGCUUGUUCAUAGCGUAUGUUAGGUUUAUGCCCUUGGAAAUGAAGCAUGUUUUUAUUUAUUGUUCCGUCAAGUUUUUAUAUCUUCAUAUAUUUAUUGAUCUCUAUCUUAUGCAGCGAGAAUACGAAGAAUGUGCUCUUAUCAUGUUCAUUCCUUCAUUUGGAAAAGAAGGAAUUCAUUAAGCAGUUCUCCGAAAUUUCAUCAAUAAACCAGCGAAUUUUAUUAUCUGGUCCAUCAGGUAAACUUUUCUUUUGUCAUUGCAUAUUGUCUCCGUUGAGUCAAAUUUAUGUCCUUGAGGCAUGUCAGCUUGCACACUUUUUGGGAAUACCAUUACUUAUAAGUAUCCAUCUAAUUAUGCAUCAGGUUCUGAGAUUUAUCAGGAAACAUUGAUAAAGGCACUUGCCAAACAUUUUGGUGCUAGACUACUUGUUGUGGAUUCACUCCUGUUGCCUGGGGUACGUUCUCCUACUCUGGACAUAUUCAGAAGUCCGCGAAUACCUUGAAGAGUGAUAUUUCCGUGUGUCUGUCAUUUGAAACAAAACUGUAUGUAGGUGCCUUCAAAGGACCCAGAAACCCAGAAAGAUGUUGGCAAGGCUGAUAAGUCAGGGGACAAGGCAGGUGGUGAGAAAUUGACAAUUCUUCAUAAGCACCGCUCUUCCUUGGCAGACACAAUGCACUUCAGAAGACCAGCUGCACCAACUUCCAGUGUGAAUGCUGAUAUUGUGGGUACAUCCACUCUACAUUCUGCAACUUUGCCCAAACAGGAGUCCUCAACAGCUACAUCCAAGGGCUAUACUUUUAGAGAAGGUUCGCUAGCAUCUCAGUAUCAUUUGAUAAAUAUUUCCCAGUUCAACUAGAUUUUACUUGGACAUAAUUGCACUCUCAUCUUCUGUAGGGGAGAGGGUGAGGUAUGUGGGUCCAGCUCAGACACCUUCAGGCAUACAUCGGUAACUCUUCUCCUACUUAUUCCCAACCAACUGCCCAGAUUCCCACUAAUUUUUUUCCAACUUUUUGGGUGCAAUCUGAACUGCUAUUAUGAUAGUGAUUGAUUGGGUGGUAUGAGAGGUGAUCUAAUCUCUCCUAUAUGUAGUGGAUAAGUUCUGUAGAAUUGUGGGUGGAGAGAAUGCAUUCCCGUGAAUUACAAGAAAGUAUGCUUUGACAAGAGGCACAUGUACCUGAUGAAACGUGUGGCUAUAGGCCUGUCAUAUAUAUGUAUAUCAAUAGGACAGCGGAUCCGCCAGUAAAUAGAAGUAUUCCGAUCGUACCUCCAAGUACUUAGCCUACAUGGAACAAUAGAAAUAGGAAAUUGGCAACAUAAAAUUAAUCUGGAGUUUCAACCACAAUCCAAUUGUGAUUGUUCUUCAUUAUGUUGCAGUUACACUAGAUUUAGCUGGAUAACAACUUAUCCUUUUGUCUUGAUGGCCAUCUAAUUAUUGUUGGUGAUCAUAUUGUUCUUUCUGUAUAAUUGCUGAUAAAUUUCUUGGUUGGUCUUCAGGGGCCCAAGUUACGGUUAUCGAGGCAGAGUGAUGCUUGCUUUCGAAGAAAAUGGAUCGUCUAAAAUUGGAGUCCGAUUCGACAAGCAGAUCCCUGAUGGUAAUGAUCUUGGUGGUUUGUGUGAGGAAGAUCAUGGCUUCUUCUGUUCUGGUUAGUUGGAACUUCUCAAUCCCACAUGUUCCCUAGUUCUUACAGUUUGUUAUUUGCUGCUGAUCAUCUGUUGUUUCUGCAGCUGAAUUGCUCCGCCCAGACUUUUCUGGUAGUGAAGAAGUUGAAAGGCUAGCUAUGACCGAGUUAAUUGAGGUAGCGUGUCUUACUUGGAGUUUGGAAUACUAGAAAUGUAAAUCAGCAUCAUGCUAUAAUAUUGAUGGUAUGAUCCUUGCCUGUCAGGUCAUCUCAGAAGAAAGCAAAAUUGGUUCUCUGAUAGUGUUACUAAAGGAUGUAGAGAAAUCAUUCACUGGAAUCACAGAAUCAUUUUCAUCUUUAAGGAACAAACUCGAAUUGCUUCCACCUGGUGUUCUGAUUAUAGGAUCCCACACCCAGAUGGACAGCCGUAAAGAGAAGGUACAUAUAUUAUUUCCGAGAAAUUAGACAAAUUAUGUUGUGUUGAGCAUGGAUUGGUGUUGAGUUCCCAUUGUAGUGUGGCAUGUUGAAGUUCUAUAUUGCUAAUUUUGGCGACAUUAGGUAGUGUUAUUUCUAAAUGUGUUGGCAUUGAAGAACUUCUCUUUUUUCCAUUUUGAUUCUUAUUAGCAACCUCUCUUAUAGGCACAUCCUGGUGGAUUUCUUUUUACGAAGUUCGCUAGUAGCAGCCAGACGCUCUUCGACCUUUUCCCGGUAGUUUGCACUCUACUUGUUCUUUAAAUUAUUUUUCUCUUGAGUGUUUUUAAAUGCAUAUGGUUUCAUAUGCUACUCUUAUGAACCAUGGCACUGAUGUUGCCUAUCUUUUUCACUUUGUUGUGAUGCAUUAUUGCAUUCACAAACUCAGGAUAGCUUUGGUAGUCGGUUGCACGAAAGGAACAAAGAAAGCCCGAAGGCAAUGAAACAUCUAAAUAAACUUUUCCCGAACAAAAUUUCCAUCCAGCUUCCACAGGUAACUAUAUUCUUUGUUGCACUCAUUUAGGUGUGGUUCUUAUGUAUACUGUCUAACCUUAAAAAUUACAAUUUCAGGAUGAAGCAUUACUUACCAGUUGGAAGCAACAAUUGGAUCGUGAUGUUGAAACCCUUAAAGCAAAAUCUAACAUCGGUAGCAUUCGUACGGUAAGCUACACGUGAAAUACAAGUUUAUACAUAUCACCUGGUCAUUUGAAACCUGAAUCCUCUUUUGUGUUUUAUGGCUGGUGUUUGUUCCAACCUGCCUGGUUGACGUAACUUUCUAUUGUAUGUUCUCUGAAUUUGUUUUUUAACAGCCCUUCUGCAAUAUUUUCUCAAUUGAUUUUUUUGAUAUGUUGUUUGUUACAUCUGCACUCAUGCAUAAUUUCACCAUUACUUGGUUUUACAAAUAUUUUCAUGCCAUAUUCCUCUUGCCAUAUAUAUCUGCGAAUGUUUCCUACCACCUAUGGGUAGUUACACUGAGUUUUGUAGGUUCUUUGUAGUAUCUGUCAAAACCACCGAGAGUAUGUACGUGCAGUAUGUUGUAUAUAAGAAUAUUUGGGUAGUAUAUAUACCACUUUCUAGGCAGUAUAUUCCUUUUUUAGUAUGUUGUUUUACAUGUACAAAUAUGAAGGUAUUUUCGAAAUAUAUAAAAAACUGUGGACUCACGUGCAAUUUUUUCAUAUAACUUGCGUUGAAAUAUCUUAGAUAUAGUAUAUGAACCAUACUUAGAAUGAUAAAGUAGUAUAUAUACUACCACAUGGUGGUAUAUGAGACAUGAGNNNNNNNNNNNNNNNNNNNNNNNNNNNNNNNNNNNNNNNNNNNNNNNNNNNNNNNNNNNNNNNNNNNNNNNNNNNNNNNNNNNNNNNNNNNNNNNNNNNNNNNNNNNNNNNNNNNNNNNNNNNNNNNNNNNNNNNNNNNNNNNNNNNNNNNNNNNNNNNNNNNNNNNNNNNNNNNNNNNNNNNNNNNNNNNNNNNNNNNNNNNNNNNNNNNNNNNNNNNNNNNNNNNNNNNNNNNNNNNNNNNNNNNNNNNNNNNNNNNNNNNNNNNNNNNNNNNNNNNNNNNNNNNNNNNNNNNNNNNNNNNNNNNNNNNNNNNNNNNNNNNNNNNNNNNNNNNNNNNNNNNNNNNNNNNNUUGCUUCCCAAUUUCAAUGGAUAUUUCGAGAUCACCCGACACCAUCAUCUGAUUGCUGAUUGCUCUGAAUGCAGUUUUUGAAUCGCAGUGCAAUCGAAUGCAAUGACCUUGAAGAAUUAUUCAUUAAAGAUCAGUCACUGACUAAUGAAAGUGAGUUCUUUUUGUUCGCUGUAUUUUAUCUAUAGAUAGAAUUGAAUUAAAGUUUUUGUUGCUCCAAACUUUCUUAGAUGUGGACAAGAUUGUCGGGUACGCUGUCAGUUAUCAUCUUAAGCACAAUAAAGUCGAAACCUCCAAGGACGGUAAACUUAUUAUCACGAGCGGAAGGUAAUCAUGUUGUUGCCAAUUUCAUUUUUACUGUAUUUAUUUUUAUGUAGUCUUCUCUCUUGAGAGCUAACUUGCUAAUUACGGAUGACAGCCUUAAGCAUGGCCUCGACAUGCUACAGAGCAUCCAUAGUGAUAACAAGAGCUCAAAAAAAUCGUUAAAGGUACUUGUUGUCUCGCACAUUUCAAACUUUAUUGUCAUUCCCCAAAUAUUAGUGCUUUUCAGUUUUUUCUACUUCUAAGCUAGUUUCUUCUUAGGAUGUUGCCACAGAGAACGAGUUUGAGAAAAGGCUUCUGGCAGAUGUUAUACCACCGAAUGAUAUUGGAGUCACCUUUGAUGAUAUUGGUGCGUUGGAGAAUGUAAAGGAAACAUUGAAGGAGUUGGUGAUGCUCCCACUGCAAAGGCCGGAAUUGUUCUGCAAAGGGCAGUUAACGAAGGUAGUAAAAAAAACUAGUAUUCACAUGGUCUCAUACAUGGGGCUUAAGUUCUUUUUCCAAUUGUAGGUUGCAUGCCAUGAUAGAAAUUUAACAGCCCUUUGUUAAAAACAACAAGACAACAUAUUUACUCUUGCUAUUCCAUAUUAUCAGUACUAAAAAGAUUCCAAACCAAUAAUAAUAAUAAUAAUUGCUCCCCAAAAUAUAAGGCAAGCUUGACUUUCUUGGUCUUCAACACACAACUUUGACUAUGAUUUUCACUGAUAGUAUAUCUACAAAAUUAACAUAAAGGCAUAAAAUCAAAUUAUUUUGCAAGGCAAAUGAUGAUACCACUUAUACAUGGCAAAUCUGUGUGGUUUCUCUAGGUAGCUUUGCAGUGUCCCUGUAAGGUUUUCGUUUCAGAAUUUUCUAAAGUGUCAGAUAUUUCAAAGAAAUCUGGGCUCUUACAAGGCUAAGCUGGUCUAACUUGAUAGAUAUAGAUAAAUAAAAAUAUUUCUUGACUUCUGACAAGAAACUCUUGGCAAUAAAAUUGGGGCGUGGAGUUUCCAGCCUCUCCUUUAUUUAUAUCUGGUGUUGAAAAAAUAGUUCUACUAGUUAAUUUGCAACCUGUUUGAAACCAAAUUUGAAGAUUAUGUUGACUACCUAAAUUCGUUGUACGGGUUAAGUUGUGAUCUUAGAAGUGCCUCCUCUCAAUCUAUUCCUUGCAGCCUUGCAAGGGAAUAUUGCUCUUCGGGCCUCCUGGCACUGGGAAAACUAUGCUUGCUAAAGCAGUAGCAACUGAAGCAGGCGCCAACUUCAUCAAUAUAUCAAUGUCAAGCAUUACAUCGAAGGUAUGGUUCCAUCUAAAGAACAAUGAAUGAGGUACAUCGUGUGAUUCUUGAUGCUAAAUGCUAUUUUGUCUACUACUUUCAGUGGUUUGGUGAAGGGGAGAAAUAUGUGAAGGCUGUUUUUUCAUUAGCAAGUAAAAUAUCCCCGAGUGUUAUUUUUAUUGAUGAGGUAUGGAGAAUAUUAAUUGCUUUUGUUGCCAUAUUGAUUUAUCUGACUAUUUAUAUAGCCUAUUAAGUGUAUAACUUUGGACAGGUCGAUAGUAUGUUAGGAAGGAGAGAAAAUCCUGGGGAGCAUGAAGCCAUGCGCAAGAUGAAAAAUGAAUUUAUGGUAAAUUGGGACGGGUUGCGAACGAAAGAUAAAGAACGUGUACUGGUUCUUGGUGCCACAAAUAGACCUUUUGACCUGGACGAGGCUGUGAUUAGGAGGUUCCCCCGCAGGUAGUACUACAGUCUCAUGUGCUGGUCUGGGAUUAUCUAAUUGCUGCCUAUUCGUUUCUAACGAUUUGGUUCAUAAUAAUAAUAAUUGUUAUUGUAGGCUAAUGGUAAAUUUACCUGACGCAUCAAAUAGAGAGAAAAUUUUGAAAGUUAUUUUAGCAAAAGAAGAGUUGGGACAAGAUACUGAUCUGGAGUCACUUGCUAAUAUGACUGAUGGAUAUUCAGGAAGUGACCUGAAGGUACAUUUGCUGUUUAUUUGCGCUCUUUUAUCCUUGAGCAUCGGAAGUGACAUCGCUGAUCUGGGUGUGUUUUCAGAAUCUAUGUGUAACUGCAGCGCACUACCCCAUUCGAGAAAUCCUAGAGAAGGAAAAGAAGGUAGGCAUGUUAUCAGUCUGCCUGUGGCAUGCAUUAAAAUGGAUACUUUUAUAGAAAGGCUCUUUGGUUUACAUCAUUGUAUAGAUGGUUUUUUCGUUCCUAUGCUUUGGUUAGAUUAUUUGAUUUAUAUACACUAAACGUUGUUUCCUUGAUAAUAUGUAGGAGAAGAAUGUUGCAAAGUCAGAAGGUAGGCCUGAGCCUGCCUUGCAUGGAAGCGAGGACGUCCGUCCUCUUAGUUUGGAUGACUUCAAAUCUGCCCAUGAGCAGGUAUUUAUCAUCCAUCCCUACCCGAUCCCUGCUUGUUUCAUCAUUGCUUUAUGAUGAUGAUAGGAUAAUCUGUGCGUUUACCACACGUAGGUUUGCGCGAGCGUGUCAUCUGAUUCGGCAAACAUGAAUGAGCUUGUCCAAUGGAACGACCUCUACGGCGAAGGAGGUUCAAGGAAGAAGAAAGCACUGAGCUACUUCAUGUGAGAGCUCUCACAAGAAUGUGCCAUAUUGUACAGUCGCUAUACUACCCCUCCCUCCUCGGCAGGUGCAUCUUGGCGACUUGUCCGGCCAAAACCAGUCGGGUUUUUCCUCCUCUCCCCUUCAGGAGCAGCGGCCGCCUACCAUCCUGAUCCUCCUCCCUCCCGUGUAAUUAAAAUUGUGCACCGAGUCUGGGUUAUUUAUCAGCUUCUGUUUGUUCCUAUUAACUUCAAAAAAGAGAAUCCUCCAUCCUCCUCUCUUGAUCACCUGCCUGUUUGCAGCCAAUUGUCGUUGAGCUUGGCUGUAGGCCCCUUGUGUGCACCUAUGUACAUGUUUAAUGAAAGGGCAUGGAAUAAGAACCUUUUCCUCUUGUAGACAGUCUGAUGAUUCUUGCUGACGAUAACCGGCCAUAGAUUUGACUUUUUUUGGUAUUAUCAUUUUUGUUAGGGA